rnacentral:lncRNA from 1 species
CAAGGCUGGAAAGUGGAGGGUGAUGAGGCUGCUGGGGCUGUGCCAAGAACCAGUGCAAGAGAGACAGUGACAGGAAGCCCUCUGCAGACCCGACAGCACCACACCGAGGAACAGCGACGAGUGGAUGCCCAGAAACUUACAUGGAAGCCUCAGAGCUCCCUGAAUUCUGGCCUCUGGAAGCCUCUCGAAACUUCAAGAAGCAGAGCUAGUCUGGAGGAGUUGAGACCCGAAUGUCAGAUAGCGACCCCAGAGAGAAGACUGUGGCCUGCAAACCUGCUCAUCAGAGGGCACACAGUCUGGCUCUGCCCUGACCUUGCACAGCAUGCAAGGCCCAUCCCACUGCUGCUCUACGGAAUCCCUGCUCUGCUUCUGCACUGGAGGUGGAAGCACCUCUUCCAAGAAGGCCCUGCUUCCACCACCGUGUUAGUGACAUGGCACCAGGGGAAAGAGUGGUCUGAGGAGAAAGGGAACCCUGACUUUGACACCAGCUCUGCUGCCAAGUACGUAAUUUGGGGUGAGGGACUUCACCUCUUUGACCUCAUUCUGAAUCUGGAAAUGGAGGUAAGAAUGCCUCCCUCCCAGAAUGGUUGUGAAGAUCCAAUCCACACUGUGUAUGAGACCGCUAACCCAGCAUGCAGCUUCUGGAGGUGCCUGGAAAACGGCAAUGCUCACCAUAUUUUUCUUCAUGCGCUUAAAGUCUCAUUUUAAGGCCCAAUAAAUUUUAGAAACAAUGGUGGAAGCAAAUGGGAACAACAAUACCCAUGAUCUAGGAAUACACUUGCGAAAGUUUCUGCUUAACAACUGAACCCAGAGCAAUCGCGGUGGAGAAAUUGAAACUCUUUCACCAUGAGCAGCUCAGCCCUGAUCCCAAGUCAAGUCUGGCCUAAUGGACAUACCAGGCAAUGAGGGUGAGGGUCCGUGACCAGGAGCAGAGCCCAGGACUGUCCAGUGGAAAUACAGCCCACACCAUAUAUGUCAUUUCAAAUCUUCUAGAGCCACAUUCCAAAAGUAGAAACGUGUGAAAGUAAAUUUUAACAAUAUAUUUUAUUAAACCCAGAAUGUCCA